rnacentral:rRNA from 1 species
UACGGAGGAUGCGAGCGUUAUCCGGAUUUAUUGGGUUUAAAGGGUGCGCAGGCGGCACGGCAAGCCGGCGGUCAAAUCGCGGGGCUCAACCCCGCCCAGCCGUCGGAACUGCCGGGCUAGAGUGGGCGAGAAGUGCGCGGAAUGCGUGGUGUAGCGGUGAGAUGCAUAGAUAUCACGCAGAACUCCGAUUGCGAAGGCAGCGCACCGGCGCCCUACUGACGCUCAGGCACGAAAGCGUGGGUAUCGAACAGG